ACUCUUCCUCUCACCGUUCCUCGUUCCGUUUCCGCCUUCUCCUCUUUCUCGAUCGCAUCUUCCCCUCUUCUAAUCGCCACACCAGCAAUUCGUCGCCGGCCUCUUCUCAGAUUUCGAUCAUCACCUCCUGAGCAUCUUGUUUCCUCAAUGGCCAGCGCCACUGUUGUCGCCGCCGUGAGGUUGGGUAUUCGAUCCCCUUUGUCGAUAUCACAGCACCGCUCGAUCGCUGGCAGCCUUGUCACGCCACACCUGUCGCCUGAUGCCACUGACGUCGCCGUUGAUUGCACGCUUCCGGUGGUGGUGGGACCUGCUGUUGGCCCCUCUUCUGUCUCAGGCAAAGGUCCGUCAACCUUCUUCCUUGGGUCAAUUGCCACCUACUUCUACAAUCGAUCGAUGUCAAUCCACCUCGUGCCCUAGUUGCCACCACAGAGAGCUUCUGUUCCAAAAUGAGAUCAUCAUCCAUUCCACUGCCGGUAGCUCCUCCCCAUCUCGUUCAUCCACGGUACUGUGUAUUCAAAAUGUUUUCCCUAUUGAUAGUUUCUUAGCCGAUCGGGACUGAAGGGUGUCAUCCACAAGCUAUCGGGAUAUCAUUAUGAGCAGAUUGCUGACCUUUCCUGCUCACUACCAUUGGCAUUGAGUGCGGUUGCCAAGGAUUCAUUGUAGGGAAGGGAGUGACCGCAGAAGGGUGCUGGACAUGGGAAUCAACAACUCCGCUUUGGCCACGAACCCAAAUAGCAAGCGCUUCUCUGGUAGGGAAUCUUCAAAUAGGGAAGUCUUCGAAUUUAAGGAUUUUGGAUUCGAGACGGACAUCUCGACAUGGGAUUGGUUUGACACGAUCUACAUAUAAAGUUAUUUCACCAGGUAGCACGUAAAGGAUUUAUGGAAUCGUCUGGAGAUCUUGUCCGCCAGUCCCAUGUCACAUUCGAGGAUGAUCUUCUAGUUUCGCUUUCUUACGCUAUUUUGUUUUAGAUUUGUGAUCUUGGUAUUGUAAUAGUUUGAUGUGGAUUUGGAAUUUUGCUUUAUAGUAUCUUGUAUUUGGUUGGUGGUGAUGUUUCAAGCCGAGCCGGCUCGCAGUUAGUUGUUUUGUUUGUUUCAUGUUCGUUAUUUUA